rnacentral:rRNA from 1 species
AACGAACGCUGGCGGCAGGCUUAACACAUGCAAGUCGAACGCCCCCGCAAGGGGAGUGGCAGACGGGUGAGUAACGCGUGGGAAUCUACCUAGUUCUACGGAACAACAGUUGGAAACGACUGCUAAUACCGUAUACGCCUAUGGGGAAAGAUUAUCGGAAUUAGAUGAGCCCGCGUAAGAUUAGCUAGUUGGUGGGGUAAUGGCCUACCAAGGCGACGAUCUUUAGCUGGUCUGAGAGGAUGAUCAGCCACACUGGGACUGAGACACGGCCCAGACUCCUACGGGAGGCAGCAGUGGGGAAUAUUGGACAAUGGGCGCAAGCCUGAUCCAGCCAUGCCGCGUGAGUGAUGAAGGGCCUUAGGGGUUGUAAAGCUCUUUCAGUGGGGAAGAUAAUGACGGU